UUACGAUCCCUUCGGGGUGACGAGUUAUUGACUGAGUGGCGGACGGGUGAGUAACGCGUGGGUAACCUACCUUGUACAGGGGGACAACAGUUGGAAACGACUGCUAAUACCGCAUAAGCGCACAGCAUCGCAUGAUGCAGUGUGAAAAGUUUUUUCGGUACAAGAUGGACCCGCGUCUGAUUAGCUAGUUGGUGAGGUAACGGCCCACCAAGGCGACGAUCAGUAGCCGACCUGAGAGGGUGACCGGCCACAUUGGGACUGAGACACGGCCCAAACUCCUACGGGAGGCAGCAGUGGGGAAUAUUGCACAAUGGGCGCAAGCCUGAUGCAGCGACGCCGCGUGAGCGAAGAAGUAUUUCGGUAUGUAAAGCUCUGUCAGCAGGGAAGAUAAUGACGGUACCUGACUAAGAAGCACCGGCUAAAUACGUGCCAGCAGCCGCGGUAAUACGUAUGGUGCAAGCGUUAUCCGGAUUUACUGGGUGUAAAGGGAGCGUAGGCGGUUUUACAAGUCUGAUGUGAAAGCCCGGGGCUCAACUCCGGUAUUGCAUUGGAAACUGUAGAACUAGAGUGUCGGAGGGGUAAGUGGAAUUCCUAGUGUAGCGGUGAAAUGCGUAGAUAUUAGGAGGAACACCAGUGGCGAAGGCGGCUUACUGGACGAUUACUGACGCUGAGGCUCGAAAGCGUGGGGAGCAAACAGGAUUAGAUACCCUGGUAGUCCACGCCGUAAACGAU
rnacentral:rRNA from 1 species